CAGCCAGACAAUUUUUCUGUAUUUUAACAUGUUAUGUAUUGAAUCAUGAUCACUUCUGAUACAGAAUCAAGUAUCGAUAUUGAGACAUCCCAAUAUCAGUGAUACCAGCUGUUUUUUUUUCCCAAAGGCAAACAGGAAAGUUAUGUACUCACAAAAUUUAUUUACAUUUAUAAAAUGCAAAUAGUUAAAAUAUGAUACAAAUAUUAAAUUUGGCACAUUUCACAGCAGAUGGCAAUAAAUAACCUUUUCCAAAAAUAGCCAAACAUCAUUUCAACUUCCUCUCCCGUAACUUGCUAUCAUCGGCAGCCAUUUUGUCAGUGUUAACGACGCCCCACACCAACCGACUCCCCCCACAAGAUUAAAAGGACCAACACUCACUCACUGCACCCCCCUGGAAAAACACUUAGUGACGAGCCCAAAAUAACGGUGAGGACAGAUAAGACUUCAUUACAAGUUCAAAACGCACGUUUUUGAAAUGUGGGGGGUAACCAGAGUACCUGGAGGAAACCCACGCAUGCACGGGAAGAGCACGCAAACUUCACAGAGGAAUCGGACCCUCUCCACAGAACUGAGAGGCG